rnacentral:rRNA from 1 species
CCUACGGGAGGCAGCAGGGGGGAAUAGUGGGCAAUGGAGGCAACUCUGACCCAGCAACGCCGCGUGAGUGAUGAAGGUCGUCGGAUUGUAAAACUCUGUAAGUGGGGACGAAGAAAGUGACGGUACCCACAGAAUAAGCAUCGGCUAACUACGUGCCAGCAGCCGCGGUAAGACGUAGGAGGCAAGCGUUAUCCGGAAUGACUGGGCGGAAAGGGUGCGGAGGUGGGACGGCAAGUUAGUAGCGUAAUUCCGGGGCGCAACCUCGGAACUACUACUAAAACUGUUGGGCUUGAGUGCAGGUGCGGCAUCUGGAAUUCCUAGUGUAGCGGUGUCCUGCGUAGCUCUUAGG